rnacentral:rRNA from 1 species
AUGACCAAAGCUUUAUUAGACAAAUAUUUGCAUCUGCCAACUACUGUGGGUUUGGUCAAAACUGGUUGCUUCCAAUAUUUGAUUGAUCAGAUUUGUAGAAGAUUUAAUAGUUGGAAAGAAAGACAACUCUCGGCUGGGGGUAAGGAAGUUAUCCCUGAAGCGAUUGCGCAAGCUAUGCCAUCAUAUGCAAUAUUGGUAUUCAAAAUUCCUAAAGAAACAUGUAAAAAAAUAACAAACGCAACGUCGCACUAUUGGUGGGAAGAUGGUGAAACUCAACGGAGAAUGCAUUGCUUUGCUUGUUGGAAGAUGUGUGUGCCUAAGAGGCAAGGAGGUAUUUGGCUUGGGGAUAUUCAUUGUUUUGAUUUAGCUCUGGUUAAGCAAGCUUCGAGAUUAAGUGAAAGCCCAAACACAUUGUGUGCAAGUAUUUUUUUUUAG